AUUGAACGCUGGCGGCAGGCCUAACACAUGCAAGUCGAACGAGUGGCGGACGGGUGAGUAAUGUCUGGGAAACUGCCUGAUGGAGGGGGAUAACUACUGGAAUCGGUAGCUAAUACCGCAUACCAUCGGAUGUGCCCAGAUGGGAUUAGCUAGUAGGUGGGGUAAAGGCUCACCUAGGCGACGAUCCCUAGCUGGUCUGAGAGGGUGACCAGCCACACUGGAACUGAGACACGGUCCAGACUCAUACGGGAGGCAGCAGUGGGGAAUAUUGCACAAUGGGCGCAAGCCUGAUGGAGCCAUGCCGCGUGUGUGAAGAAGGGCUUCGGGUUGUAAAGUACUUUCAGCGGAGAGGCGUUACCCACAGAGAAAGCACCGGCUAACUCCGUGCCAGCAGCCGCGGUAAUAC
rnacentral:rRNA from 1 species